UACGUAGGGUGCGAGCGUUAAUCGGAAUUACUGGGCGUAAAGCGUGCGUAGGCGGUUCUCCAAGUCCGUUGUGAAAGCCCCGGGCUUAACCUGGGAAUGGCAGUGGAAACUAGAGAACUUGAAUCUGGCAGAGGGGGUGGAAUGCCACGUGUAGCAGUGAAAUGCGUAGAGAUGUGGAGGAAUACCGAUGGCGAAGGCAGCCCCCUGGGCCAAUACUGACGCUCAUGCACGAAAGCGUGGGGAGCAAACAGG
rnacentral:rRNA from 1 species